rnacentral:rRNA from 1 species
CACCGCGGUUAUACGAGAGGCUCAAGUUGACAAACACCGGCAAAAAACGUGGCCUAUAAAGUAUUACACUAAAGCUAAACUUCUUCAAGGCUGUUAUACGCAUUCGAAGAAAAGAGAAUCUUCCACGAAAGUGGCUUUAAAUAAUAUCACCCACGAAAGCUAGGAAA